GGGAUUCCCUGGAGAAGCUGGAGUGAGGGGCUCCCCAGGCAGAAUGCCAUCUACAAGGAACUGUAAGAGAGAAUCAUUAGUGGCUGUCCAAAGAGAAACCAGGCGUGGAGAGCACAGGUGACCAUGCAGAGCUCAUCAGCACAGGUAACCAUGCAGUCUGAGAAUUGAAAAAGAGCACCAGCAUGGACCGUACGGGAGGUACUGGAUCUGAUCGCUGUAUGGGGAGACGAUUCCAUGCUAGCAGAACUACGUUCCAAAAGACGAAAUGCCAAAAUAUUUUAAAAAAUCUCCAAGGGCAUGAUGGAGAGAGGCUACAAUAGGGACUCACUACAGUGCCAAGUGAAAGUUAAGGAGCUCAGACAAGCGUACCAGAAAACCAAAGAAGCAAACGGACAGUCCAGGGCAGAGCCGCAGACAUGCUGCUUCUACAAUGAGCUGCAUGCAAUUCUAGAGGGGGCUGCCACCACUACCCCACCCCUGACUGUCGAUUCUGAUGAGGGGGUACUCUUAGCCAUGCCUGAGGAUUUUGCGGAUGGGGAAGAUGAGGAGGAGGAGGAUGAGCUUGCAGAGAGCACACAGCACACCGUUCUCCCCAUCAGCCAGGAUCUUUUUUUCAGCCUGACUGAAAUAGCGUCCCAAGCCUCCCAAGGCGGUCUCCUGGACCAUGAAGCCAGAGAAGGGACCUCUGCUGCAAAUUUUUCAAGCCUCCCUCCUCCAUCCGGAAGGCUAUCUCAGAUAAGGCGGUGAAAAAAACGCACGUGCGAUGAAAUGUUCUCUGAGAUCAUGCAGUCAACCCGCAAUGAAAGAGCUCAUCUGAAUGAGUGGAAGGACACAGUAUCACAGUACAGGAAAGCAGCCAAUGAACGUGAGGACAGGAGGGACGAAUGUGAGGACAGGAGGGAUGCUUGAGAUGAGAGGUGGCGUCAGGAAGAUCAGAGGACGCAGGAUGCAACGCUGGGGCUACUGCGGGAUCAAACGGACAUGCUCCGGCGUUUGGUGGAGCUUCAGGAACGGCAGCAGGAUCACAGAGUGCCACUGCAGCCCCUGUUUAACCACCCUCCCCCCUCCCCAAGUUCCAUAGCCUCCUCACCCAGACGCCCAAAAACGCGGAGGGGGGGGAGAAGGCUCCGUGCACCCUGCCACUCCACCCCGGUGGACAGCCCAAGCAACAGAAGGCUGUCAUUCAACAAGUUUUGAAGUGGCCUUUUUCUUUCCUCCUCUCCUCCUCCCACACCC